rnacentral:tRNA from 2 species
UGGGGAUUCGCCAAGUGGUAAGGCCUCGGCUUUUGGUGCCGAUAUUCAUAGGUUCGAAUCCUAUAUCCCCAUCCA